rnacentral:rRNA from 1 species
GACGAACGCUGGCGGCGUGCUUAACACAUGCAAGUCGAACGGAAAGGCCCCCAUCUUGGUGGGGGUGCUCGAGUGGCGAACGGGUGAGUAACACGUGGGUGAUCUGCCCUGUACUUCGGGAUAAGCUUGGGAAACUGGGUCUAAUACCGGAUAGGACCAUGGUUUAGUGUCUCAUGGUGGAAAGAUUAUUGUUUUGGUGCAGGAUGAGCUCGCGGCCUAUCAGCUUGUUGGUGGGGUAAUGGCCUACCAAGGCGUCGACGGGUAGCCGGCCUGAGAGGGUGGACGGCCACAUUGGGACUGAGGUACGGCCCAGACUCCUACGGGAGGCAGCAGUGGGGAAUAUUGCACAAUGGGCGCAAGCCUGAUGCAGCGACGCCGCGUGGGGGAUGACGGCCUUCGGGUUGUAAACUCCUUUCGUUAGGGACGAAGCCGCACUUUUUUUGGGUGUGGUGACGGUACCUUUGUUAAGAAGCACCGGCUAACUACGUG